GAUGAACGCUGGCGGCGUGCUUAACACAUGCAAGUCGAACGGGAAACCUUUUAUUUAAGCUUCGGCAGAUUUAGCUGGUUUCUAGUGGCGGACGGGUGAGUAACGCGUGGGUAACCUGCCUUAUACAGGGGGAUAACAGUCAGAAAUGGCUGCUAAUACCGCAUAAGCGCACAGAGCUGCAUGGCUCAGUGUGAAAAACUCCGGUGGUAUAAGAUGGACCCGCGUUGGAUUAGCUGGUUGGUGGGGUAACGGCCCACCAAGGCGACGAUCCAUAGCCGGCAUGAGAGGGUGAACGGCCACAUUGGGACUGAGACACGGCCCAGACUCCUACGGGAGGCAGCAGUGGGGAAUAUUGCACAAUGGGGGAAACCCUGAUGCAGCGACGCCGCGUGAAGGAAGAAGUAUCUCGGUAUGUAAACUUCUAUCAGCAGGGAAGAUAAUGACGGUACCUGACUAAGAAGCCCCGGCUAACUACGUG
rnacentral:rRNA from 1 species